AGAAUCAACGCUGGCGGCGUGCCUCAGACAUGCAAGUCGAACGAUUAAAGCUCUCUUCGGAGAGUGCAUAGAGUGGCGCACGGGUGAGUAACACGUAAGUAAUCUACCCUCGAGUGGGGAAUAACAUCGGGAAACCGAUGCUAAUACCGCAUAAUGCAGCGGACACCGCAAGGUGACUAGUUAGUUAAAGAUUUAUCGCUUGAGGAGAGCUUGGCGCAGUAUAGCUAGUGGUAAGGUAUGGCUAACCGAGCUACGAUCGUAGUUAACCGGU
rnacentral:rRNA from 1 species